GACGAACGCUGGCGGCGCGCUUAACACAUGCAAGUCGAACGGAAAGGCCUGCUUUCCCUUGUGGAUUGCGGGUACUCGAGUGGCGAACGGGUGAGUAACACGUGAGUGAUCUGCCCCCAACUUGGGUAUAAGCCUGGGAAACUGGGUCUAAUUCCCGAUAGGACUGCAGGGUGGUGCCUGUGGUGGAAAACGAUUUUCUAGUGGUUGGGGAUGAGCUCGCGGCCUAUCAGCUUGUUGGUGGGGUAAUGGCCUACCAAGGCGGCGACGGGUAGCCGGCCUGAGAGGGUGGACGGCCACAUUGGGACUGAGAUACGGCCCAGACUCCUACGGGAGGCAGCAGUGGGGAAUAUUGCACAAUAGGCGGAAGCCUGAUGCAGCGACGCCGCGUGGGGGAUGACGGCCUUCGGGUUGUAAACUCCUUUCGACCGCGAGGAAGCCACCUGGUUGGAAGGGUGGUGACGGUAGUGGUAGAAGAAGCACCGGCUAACUACGUG
rnacentral:rRNA from 1 species